rnacentral:rRNA from 1 species
AGCGAACGCUGGCGGCAGCCUAACACAUGCAAGUCGCACGAACUCUUCGGAGUUAGUGGCGGACGGGUGAGUAACACGUGGGAACGUGCCUUUUGGUUCGGAAUAACUCAGGGAAACUUGUGCUAAUACCGAAUGUGCCCUUCGGGGGAAAGAUUUAUCGCCAUUAGAGCGGCCCGCGUCUGAUUAGCUAGUGGGUGGGGUAACGGCUCACCAAGGCGACGAUCAGUAGCUGGUCUGAGAGGAUGACCAGCCACACUGGGACUGAGACACGGCCCAGACUCCUACGGGAGGCAGCAGUGGGGAAUCUUGCGCAAUGGGCGAAAGCCUGACGCAGCCAUGCCGCGUGAAUGAUGAAGGUCUUAGGAUUGUAAAAUUCUUUCACCGGGGACGAUAAUGACGGUACCCGGAGAAGAAGCCCCGGCUAACUUCGUG